rnacentral:rRNA from 1 species
AGCAGCAGCCGCGGGAAAACAGAGGAUGCAAGCGUUAUCCGGAAUGAUUGGGCGUAAAGGACGCGUAGGCGGAUUAUCAAGUCUCUUGUGAAAUCUAACGGCUUAACCGUUAAACUGCUUGGGAAACUGAUAAUCUAGAGUAAGGGAGAGGCAGAUGGAAUUCUUGGUGUAGGGGUAAAAUCCGUAGAGAUCAAGAAGAAUACCCAUUGCGAAAGCGAUCUGCUGGAACUUAACUGACGCUGAGGCUCGAAAGCGUGGGGAGCAAACAGGAUUAGAUACCCCCGUAGUCCCUGUCUCUUAUAC